rnacentral:rRNA from 1 species
AUUGAACGCUGGCGGCAGGCCUAACACAUGCAAGUCGAACGAGUGGCGGAAGGGUGAGUAAGGUCUGUAAAACUGCCUGAUUGAGGGGGAUAACUAUUGGAAACGGUAGCUAAUACCGCAUUCCCUCGGCUGUGCCCAGAUGGGAUUGGCUAGUAGGUGGGGUAACGGCUCACCUAGGCGACGAUCCCUAGCUGGUCUGAGAGGAUGACCAGCCACACUGGAACUGAGACACGGGCCAGACUCCUACGAGAGGCAGCAGUGGGGAAUAUUGCACAAUGUGCGCAAUCCUGAUGCAGCCAUGCCGCGUGUAUGACGAAGGCCUUCGGGUUUUAAAGUACUUUCAGCGGGUAGGCGUUACCCGCAGAAGAAGCACCGGCUAACUCCGUGCCAGCAGCCGCGGUAAUAC